rnacentral:lncRNA from 1 species
AGGCCCAUGCACUUCAAGACCUAGUGGCUAGCCUAGGGGGAGAUGGGGUGGAGGCUGUAAGACUGGGACCAAGGGGGAGGAUGGCAGAUCAGAGAAGGUGUGCUCUUAAUCACUCAGGCUCUCACCCACUUCCUGUCAUCCUCUGCUUCCUGUCCACCACUGAGUGAACAGAUGUCUGCCAGCACAUGCUCCUGUUACAAUGUACCAGGCUGCCACAGUACCACGGCCCCAAACCCAUGAGCUCAGAUAAAUUGUUCCUGCCAGAAAUCUUAUCAACAGGUAAGUCUUAUUCUUCACCCCACAGGCAUGAAAAGCACAUGGAAAUGUUUCUUGUCAUUGAAUUCCCCAAAGCGUUUACCUGCCGUGUUCCCCAGUCUAACUUGAAGCGCAGAUAUGGGGAUCAACCAGCGGAAUUUAAAUGGGUCCAAGUCAGCAGAGUUGUGAGCAGGCCGGGAAUUGGAGGGCUGCAGUGAGAGACCACCAGGAAGAGGUUACAGUUGUGUGUUGUACAGUGAGCAGAGGUAUCUUGAUAUGUGUGCAGGACUCUCGUGAGUGUCUAAGAUGCAUAGAAACCAGGUACACACCCAGUUCUCAAAGACCUCCCAUCCUUGGGUCUGAGACUGUGCCAAAGUGAGAGUUCAUGGAACACAAGCCUCCCUCUCUCUGCAAAGAAGGCAGCCUUGUCUUCCUGCAUGCAGUCUCCAGUUCCUGCUGGUGGCUUAUGGUAUCCAUGACAACAUUCUGAUCUAAUGCUUGGAGUUUUGUCUGGGUCUUGACUUUUUGAAUCAAAAUAAAAAUUAUUUUAAAGCCAAAACAUUGUAGCCCUCUGUGUGUAUGGAAUCGUGUGUACUAUUACUUUCGGGGGCUAAAAAUUGUUCUGUGUUGGCCUCAUGUAGGUGUCUGUCCUAACAUCUCUUAAAGUAAAUGGACAGCUAUUCCACUUCUGGGCUGUGUGCAGAGAACUCAAUAGCCCAUCACA